rnacentral:lncRNA from 1 species
GGAAGGCUUGGAAAGUGAAAGGGUGAGAAGCCAAGUGAAGGCCUUUGAGACCCACAGUCCCAGACCCUAGGCUCCUCCAGUUGGAGCAACCUGUCCCCACCCAGCAGCCGCAGGAACAGGCAGAGGCUGCUACUGAAACAUUCCCUAGGCUCUCCAUGAGCCCGACAAAGCUUUCUUGCCUUUCCGAAGGAACAUCUCUGAGAGGGCAGGGGAAACACACUCACCAAGGGGCAGCCAGGCCAGACAGAGGAGGCACUGGGUGUGGGGAGGAAAUCAAACAAGUCCCCGAGGGGCGGGAAUGGUGCUCAGGGCAAAGCGCAAGCCUAGAAUGUGCAAGGCAAAAGGCUGUAUUCCAACCCCAUCACUACGCGGGGUGAGGGGGCCUUUUAAAAAGCAAUUCGACACUGUGGUCUCAGGAGCCGUGCCUAGGUACACACACUUUGCAACAGUCACCAUCCCACAUCCAACGAAUACUCACACAUGCAAACAAAUGCUCAGCACCCCACCAUCUUCUCAUUUGCACCCCAAACUCUCGACGGGACAGGCCCUGGGACCCAAUCAGAGCUUCGGGACAGAAAAGAUGUUCCCAGGCCUUUUACAAAAGUCCCUACAGCUGUUGGCCCCUGUUUGGGGCUGAAAGACAACAACUCCACCUCACCCGAGGUGUCAGGUAGCCAGGCUUAUCGGGUCUGGGUAAGUGAGUUGUUGUCGGAUCCGGUUUCUUUGCCGUGGCAGCUCGUCCCCCCCCCC